AACGCGAAGAACCUUACCCAGACUUGACAUGCACCGGACGACGGCAGAGAUGUCGUUUCCCUUCGGGGCCGGUGCACAGGUGCUGCAUGGCUGUCGUCAGCUCGUGCCGUGAGGUGUUGGGUUAAGUCCCGCAACGAGCGCAACCCUUAUCAUUAGUUGCCAACAUUUAAGGUGGGAACUCUAAUGAGACUGCCUGGGUUAACCAGGAGGAAGGUGAGGAUGACGUCAAGUCCGCAUGGCCCUUAUGUCUGGGGCUACACACGUGCUACAAUGGUCGGUACAGAAGGCAGCGAAACCGCGAGGUGAAGCAAAUCCCAAAAAGCCGAUCUCAGUUCAGAUUGUAGUCUGCAACUCGACUACAUGAAGACGGAAUUGCUAGUAAUGGCGUGUCAGCAACAACGCCGUGAAUACGUUCCCGGGCCUUGUACACACCGGUAUCUC
rnacentral:rRNA from 1 species